CCUGAGAAACCCGAAAGAUCGAAUGGGGAGAUUCAUCGUCAGCGAUUUUGGUACGUGUGCGGUUCGCGAUGUCGGAGACUUCGGUCUCAUGGCACUCGUCCGUAUGUUUUUUAUUGCCUUGAUCGUCGGCGUGCACUUCUCCCCUAGUAGGACGUCGCGACCCGUUGGGUGUCGGUCUACGGCCCGGGUGGUAGCCUGUCUCGUGUGCGCUUCACGGCGUUACGCGGGGCAGACCCCUGUGUGUCUGGCCGACUGCCCGGCGGUACUCGCACGGUAUCUGGCCGCAAAUAUUCGAACUGCGUCCGGCCCGUCGCAAGCGAGGCAAGUGUUUCCCGGCUGUACGGAUCUAAAGCCGUCACCGGGCCUUGCCAGCUGUUGGUUGACGGUGUCCUAGGACUGGCUAAUAUAAUUAUGAUACCGGUCGGCGACGCUACUGCUUUGGGUACUUUCAGGACCCGUCUUGAAACACGGACCAAGGAGUCUAACAUGUGCGCGAGUCAUUGGGAUCUAUUAAGCCUAAAGGCGCAAUGAAAGUGAAGGUCGGCCUUGCGCCGACCGAGGGAGGAUGGGCCGCGUCACGAUGCGGUCCCGCACUCCCGGGGCGUCUCGUUCUCAUUGCGAGAAGAGGCGCA
rnacentral:rRNA from 1 species